rnacentral:rRNA from 1 species
ACGGUCCUAAGGUAGCGAAAUUCCUUGUCGGGUAAGUUCCGACCUGCACGAAUGGCGUAACGACUUCCCCACUGUCUCGACCAGGAGCUCGGCGAAAUUGCAGUACGAGUAAAGAUGCUCGUUAAGCGCAGAAGGACGAAAAGACCCCGGGACCUUUACUAUACCUUGGUAUUGGCGUUAGGCGCGGAUUGUGUAGCAUAGGCGGGAGGCUUCGAAGCGUGGGCGCCAGCUCAUGUGGAGCCGCAAGGUGAAAUACCGCUCUGUUCUCGUUUGACGUCUAACCUCGACAAGUCAUCCUUGUCAGGGACAGUGCCUGGCGGGUAGUUCAACUGGGGCGGUUGCCUCCCAAAGAGUAACGGAGGCGCUCAAAGGUCCGCUCAGCCCGGUUGGCAAUCGGGUGUCGAGUGUAAUCGCACAAGCGGGCUUGACUGCGAGGACGACGGUCCGAGCAGGGACGAAAGUCGGAGAUAGUGAUCCGGUGCCGGCGCACGGGCGCGGCAUCGCUCAACGGAUAAAAGGUACCCCGGGGAUAACAGGCUGAUCAUUCCCAAGAGUCCAUAUCGACGGGAUGGUUUGGCACCUCGAUGUCGGCUCGUCGCAUCCUGGGGCUGGAGCAGGUCCCAAGGGUUCGGCUGUUCGCCGAUUAAAGCGGCACGCGAGCUGGGUUCAGAACGUCGUGAGACAGUUUGGUCUCUAUCCUCUGCGCUCGUUGGAAUCCUGAGGAGGCCUGCCCAUAGUACGAGAGGACCUGGGUGGACGAACCUCUGGUAUGCCGGUUGUCGCGCCAGCGGCACGGCCGGUUGGCUACGUUCGGGAGGGAUAACCGCUGAAAGCAUCUAAGCGGGAAGCCUGCUCCAAGAUUAGGAUUCCGUACGGUCUUGAACCGUUGUAGCCCGCAUGUUGAACACGUGUUCGAUAGGCCGGAGGUGGAAGUCCCGCGAGGGAUGGAGCCGACCGGUACUAACGGGCGACGGCGACACAAC